rnacentral:rRNA from 1 species
UACGUAGGGCGCAAGCGUUAUCCGGAAUUAUUGGGCGUAAAGAGCUCGUAGGCGGUUUGUCGCGUCUGCCGUGAAAGUCCGGGGCUCAACUCCGGAUCUGCGGUGGGUACGGGCAGACUAGAGUGAUGUAGGGGAGACUGGAAUUCCUGGUGUAGCGGUGAAAUGCGCAGAUAUCAGGAGGAACACCGAUGGCGAAGGCAGGUCUCGUGGGCAUUAACUGACGCUGAGGAGCGAAAGCAUGGGAGCGAACAGG